rnacentral:rRNA from 1 species
UUAUCGGAGAGUUUGAUCCUGGCUCAGGACGAACGCUGGCGGCGUGCUUAACACAUGCAAGUCGAACGGGCACUUCGGUGCUAGUGGCGAACGGGUGAGU